GGGGAUUGGUCGGUGGAGCUGCGCUCGGCCGUCCCUACAGGAAGGGUGUGGGGGAGAUGCUUUUCAGGCAGUGGGGGAUCAUCUGCUGUCUCGCAGUCAGGUGGGAACGGGUGACCUCAAAGACAGCGAGGGAUGGAAACAAGUCCCUGCUCGGGGCAACAAGCGGACUGCCCCUCAGCCUGUCCCACCUUCCCAGGUGCCCUUACAAUACCAGGAAGACUGAGAAAGCAAAAAAAUCAUUCUGCCCUUGCUCCUGACCCUUGUCCCUGCCUCCACCUGCCCUCAGCGUACGGCCAGGAGAGGAGGGGCACUCAGCAGCAUGAUGGGAGCCCUUCAUAUUCUCCUCAGCUCCUGACCUUCCAGCUCUGCAGAGACAUUUCGUAUCUCAGUGAUAGUCUGUGGCCCCCACAGCCCCCCAGACCCGACCCCAAAGGCCUGCUGCCUCUCUCUCCCCCCCGACCCACACAGAUGGGCCUGGUGGGCACUGUCAGUGCUGGGAGCCCAGGAGCAGGCACAGGCAGCCUGGCCGGGCUGGGAUCUGCGCUGCUCUGACAGGAGCUCUGUGCUAAUGUCAUGCUGCACAGCAUUCCAGGGACCAGAAGCUGCAUCUCGCGCAGCGGUGAGUGAUGGCAGCGCUGUGUGUGCCCUCCAGGGGGGCCCGGGACAGGCUUGAAAAGCAGCACCGCGUGAACCAGAUGAGGUGCAACACGGCCACGCGCGAGGUGCUGCACUCGGGCCGCCGUAAUCCCG
ensembl:lncRNA